rnacentral:sRNA from 1 species
AUACAGUUAUUACUGUAAGCUUGAUAAGCUUUAAUAAACAAUUUAAUCAAAGAAUGGGGCAUACAACUAAUUUCAGC